UCAAGGACUGGUACAGUGGAAUUAAUCAUUUCUGUGCAAAAGGAAUGACCAAUUUUCUGUCAACUUCUUUUUAACCAGUCCCUGUCCAAAGUGCUGUGACUUGCUCCUGCAAUGUCUCAGCCAAGAUUUCCAUCAGGAGGAAAAAUGAAGAACAAGCUGUAUUUUACUGUGUGCUUCUGAAGGCAAAGAGUAACAGGGAAAUGAACUACAGGAUAAUGGAUGCGGGGAUGCAGAAUGACAGAUUGUUACCUAAGAGGAGUGAUCAGAGACGUUGGGAUAAAGAAUGAAGUUCUUGGGAAGUGAUGAAUUUAGCUAUUAUUGAACACCAGAACCAUAUAGCAACAUCUAAGCAAUCUUAUCUCACUGCAAGAAAGUCUCUGCAAUGGCAAAUUCCAGAACAACAGUGGCCUCUUUCAUCAAGAAUUCUGCCAAAGGACUUGUACAAAACCCACAUUCUGGCUCUCCACACUACGCAGAUGGCUUGGCUGGCUGGAAUGAAAGUGAAGAUGACAAGAUUUUGGUCUCUGGAGAGAGAAGAUCUCAUUGUAAGAUUGGAUGUUGCACCAUCUCCACCACUGUGGACAAGGUUUUACCAUAUUUGACCUGAGAAUACCUGAAAACAAACAUGAAGGAAUAAUCUAUGCCUUCAUCACCAACCUUCCACAGAGGACACCCAACAAACCAUAGAGGAAAGAAGAAAAAGUAAAGGACGCAUUCUUUAACUGUUUGCACAUAAUAUUCUUACAAACUAUUGCUCUGAUCCAUCUAUAGCACCAAAGAAAGGGCUUUGUUAUCUACUUCCAUUCAUAAAAGAAACAUCUCAGUUAACCUGAAUUUAUGAGCUACAGACAUCACAGCCUUUCAGAAGAGAAAGCAUUGAUGUCACAUGCAGUGAUGAUGUCACAGAAAAUAUCUCUGCCUUCUGAAAUUGAGGAGAUUGCAUCCAGCUUCUCUCCUGAGUGAUCUUCAGUGAAGAUAAGUUUAGGAACUGAUCUCCAAGUUGUUUUGGACAAGUUCAGAAGCUUACUGAGGCCUUAAAAUUAUAAUUUUGUUUCAUUUGGGUUGCUUUUGAACAAAAGUGUAAGGGUCACUGGAAGACAGGACACAACCUGCUGAGAUGCAACGAAGACAGUGUUCUACAGAUGAGUAUGUGCACAGAUAUAUAUUAAACAAACAGAUAUAUAUUAAAUAAACAAUCAAACAAACAGAAUAUCAGACUUUUGUUAUCUCCUGAUGUUAUUAAUUAGAAUUGAACCAUGGGCACACUAGGGCAAAGGAAUCAUCUGUUGUAGUUGAGGCUCUGGUUUCAGAAACAAAGUAAACAAGAAAAGAGAAACAUGUAGGGUUCAUAUCAGACUCGAUCACAUUUCUACAGGCUUCAGAUUACUGAUUUCAGCAUUCUCUAAAGGCUGUUCUAUUGGUGAAAUUGCACAGGCAAUAAGGAAGAUCUAUGCUGCAUUUGCAAGUGAAAUGAAUAGGCACAAAGCAUGCUACACUUUUAUCUUUGCAAUUCAUCAUAUUAAAACUAAUCAUGGCAGGUGUAAUUAUGUAAGCGCCAAAAAUAAAUAAGGAAGCAAAUAAAUAAAUAGCUCUCAAAUUUUCCUAAGCGUUCUGCUUUUCCUCAGCAUAAUAAAUCUAUGGGUUGGAGGAGAGGCUACAAUCUUCGGUACAGCAGAAGAUAUUUUGGGAAGAAAAUGCUAGUUAGGAAACCUGCUAAGAUUCUCUUAUCACAGCGAGAAAGGAUAAGA